UCCGGUGAUGGGUCAGUGGUAGAGCGUCUGCUUUGCAGGCAGAAGGUUUCAGGUUCAAUCCCGGCUAGGAA